CGUGGGCGUGCGUGGUGAGGCGUGUGCCCUUUGCGUUGCUCUCGAGCCCUCGUCGCGUUUGUGCCCUCCGCUGUUUUCCGUGUCUCUUUCUGCUUCCGCAUGGACGCGCGCCUCCCCUCGACCCCCGCUGUCGCACACGGCAUGCGCGUGUGUGCCGGUGCAUGCGCCCUUGUGACCGUCCUCCCCCUUCCUCAGCGGAUGCCCCCUCCCCGCCGCCCCUCUCUUGCUGCGGCGACUGCCCCGCGCUCCUCGCACUCCCAGGGAGGAAGAAGCGCCGCUGCGACAGGAGAGCCGCCGAGCACACCCUCUGUCCCGCCCCCCUCCUUAUGUUGCCGCUGCUUCCUCCUCUCGUCUCGUGCUCUUGUGCGCACCCGCCGCUACGCGUCUUCACUUGCUUUGCUGCUCUUUUCCGCGUGCCGGUACCCGCGCUCCCCUUUCUCUCGGUCCUCCGCAGGCCACGGACGCGUGGGCCCGCCUGCGUGUGCGUGUGCGUGUGCGUCUCUCCCGUCGCUUUAUGCGCGCCGCUGUCCUUCUCUUGUGCCUCUCUCCCCGUGCGCAGGCGAGAGGGGCUGGCUGAGACGGCGAAGAGAACGGCCACGGCAGCACAGCGGAGCAGGGGGACGGGGGAGGGGGUGAGUGCGCAACGGCGACGGCGCCCCAAAGGAUAGGGGCUAGCCCUUCAACAGGAGUGCGUGCCUGCGUGUGUGUGCUUGUCUCUGUGCGCGUUGUGUCUUUAUUAUGUCUUCGCCUUUCUUGUGUCGCUUCUUUUGCUUUUCUUUGUUUCGAUGCCUAAUCACACCACCGAGUCCUCCAGACUCCCAUGUGAAGAGUCUUUACCCCUUGCUACGGGAUUCGGUGGCGUGUGCAACUCGGGCGAGGCGUGGCAUGCAGGCAGAGCACAGGGUCUCAAAGGGCCCUGACCCGCGGCUGGCCAGCAUUUCCCUGAGGUCGUCCGGCACUCACCGAGGCCACCGCCUGUUACCCACACGACUGACGUCACCGCUUCCGCCCUCGAGCAGGAGCCUGGACGCGCUGCCCGCCUGGGCCGAGGCAUGCGUUCCACCCGGGUCCGUGUGGCGCCUUACCGCGCAGCACGUACCCGAGGAGGGGACGAGCAAGGACAGGAGGAGCCGGACGACGCAUGGCCCGAUUGAAGGCAGGCAGUGCGUCCUUGGCGACCAGGAUGUAGCUGUGGCGCAACAGAGGCGUGCGAGCUGUGGUUGAAUGCGUA
rnacentral:misc_RNA from 1 species